rnacentral:misc_RNA from 1 species
AAACAAUAUGUGUAUUAAUUUUUUACUAAAGUAGUAAUCAAUUGAAUAAAAGAAUUAAAUUUUGCAGAUACAUAGAUGACGAAGAUGUUAAUAGUUCUAAAGUUGGAAGUUGCAUAGAGCUUGAUUCGAAAUGGAUAAAAGACUUGCGUUCACUGCGCAACUCCCACGUGCGUCUCGUGCUUCGUCAGCUGCAGCAGCUUCAGGACAUUGAACGCCUUAGUCGUGUCCUUUGUUGCACAAAUUCGCCGCAAACGAGUAGUUCUUCAUGCCAAUUAGAUCUAACGGUGAGCGAUCGGUAAUUCAGGGAGCAGUUGAUAGAUUUUUGGGAUUAUUUAACUAACAGGAUUGAAGAAAAUAAUUUUUACUUAUUUUUGAUUUUGACUUCUGAGGAAAAUUGUUUCAACUUGCUUUUUUUAAUAAACCAUUUUGAAAU